rnacentral:rRNA from 1 species
GAAGCCGGAAUUGCUAAUAAUGGCAGGUCAGCAUACUGCCGUGAAUACGUUCCCGGGCCUUGUACACACCGCCCGUCACACCAUGAGAGUUGGGAAUACCCGAAGCCUGUGAGCUAACUUUUAGAGGCAGCAGUCGAAGGUAGAAUCAAUGAUUGGGGUGAAGUCGUAACAAGGUACC